rnacentral:tRNA from 1 species
GGAUGUGGCGCAGUUUGGUAGCGCGUUUGCUUCGGGAGUAAAAGGCCGCAGGUUCAAAUCCUGUCAUCC